UACGAGGGGUGCAAGCGUUAUCCGGAAUGAUUGGGCGUAAAGCGUCCGCAGGUGGCUUUGUAAGUCUGCUGUUAAAGAGUGAGGCUCAACCUCAUAAGAGCAGUGGAAACUACAAGGCUAGAGUACGUUCGGGGCAGAGGGAAUUCCUGGUGUAGCGGUGAAAUGCGUAGAGAUCAGGAAGAACACCGGUGGCGAAAGCGCUCUGCUAGGCCGUAACUGACACUGAGGGACGAAAGCUAGGGGAGCGAAUGGG
rnacentral:rRNA from 1 species